CAGCAGUAGCCGCGGGAAUACGUAGGGUGCAAGCGUUAAUCGGAAUUACUGGGCGUAAAGCGUGCGCAGGCGGUUAUAUAAGACAGAUGUGAAAUCCCCGGGCUCAACCUGGGAACUGCAUUUGUGACUAUAUAGCUAGAGUACGGCAGAGGGGGAUGGAAUUCCGCGUGUAGCAGUGAAAUGCGUAGAUAUGCGGAGGAACACCGAUGGCGAAGGCAAUCCCCUGGGCUUGUACUGACGCUCAUGCACGAAAGCGUGGGGAGCAAACAGGAUUAGAUACCCGCGUAGUCCCUGUCUCUUAUAC
rnacentral:rRNA from 1 species